rnacentral:pre_miRNA from 1 species
GGGGGAUCUUGGUUUGGUUUUAGGGGUACAGUGACCAGGUUACGAUGGAUUUCUCAAGUGAGAACCUCGUAGCUGGGUCACAAUAUCUGUAUGACUCCA